rnacentral:lncRNA from 1 species
GAUAAAGUAUUGCAUGUCUUUUGAGUUUAUGAUUGAACAUCGAAUUCCCAUGUUCACCCCAAAUAGCCUCGCCUAGAGAUCAUAAAGCACAAUUUAAAUGAUCGCUUGGACCUUGGUGAACGUACCAAGUUUUCGGUUUCUUCCUAAGGGUAUGCAAUCUUGUACGCAUCUAUGUUGGUUUGCCAUCAGGCCCAUUGCCACCCAACCUAUUCGACGUUACAGUUGGUUACUGGGUACGAACCUGACGCUUCGUAUUUACGCGAUUUGGGUGUGCAUUCCAUGUGCCAUGUUGC